rnacentral:rRNA from 1 species
CCUACGGGAGGCUGCAGUGGGGAAUAUUGGACAAUGGGGGCAACCCUGAUCCAGCCAUGCCGCGUGUGUGAAGAAGGCCCUCGGGUUGUAAAGCACUUUCAGUGAGGAAGAACGCCUGGUGGUUAAUACCCAUCAGGAAAGACAUCACUCACAGAAGAAGCACCGGCUAACUCCGUGCCAGCAGCCGCGGUAAUACGGAGGGUGCGGGCGUUAAUCGGAAUUACUGGGCGUAAAGCGCGCGUAGGUGGCUUGAUAAGCCGGUUGUGAAAGCCCCGGGCUCAACCUGGGAACGGCAUCCGGAACUGUCAAGCUAGAGUGCAGGAGAGGAAGGUAGAAUUCCCGGUGUAGCGGUGAAAUGCGUAGAGAUCGGGAGGAAUACCAGUGGCGAAGGCGGCCUUCUGGACUGACACUGACACUGAGGUGCGAAAGCGUGGGUAGCAAACAGGAUUAGAUACCCCAGUAGUC